AUUGAACGCUGGCGGCAGGCCUAACACAUGCAAGUCGAGCGGAUGAAGGGAGCUUGCUCCUGGAUUCAGCGGCGGACGGGUGAGUAAUGCCUAGGAAUCUGCCUGGUAGUGGGGGAUAACGUCCGGAAUCGGGCGCUAAUACCGCAUACGUCCUGAGGGAGAAAGUGGGGGAUCUUCGGACCUCACGCUAUCAGAUGAGCCUAGGUCGGAUUAGCUAGUUGGUGGGGUAAAGGCCUACCAAGGCGACGAUCCGUAACUGGUCUGAGAGGAUGAUCAGUCACACUGGAACUGAGACACGGUCCAGACUCCUACGGGAGGCAGCAGUGGGGAAUAUUGGACAAUGGGCGAAAGCCUGAUCCAGCCAUGCCGCGUGUGUGAAGAAGGUCUUCGGAUUGUAAAGCACUUUAAGUUGGGAGGAAGGGCAGCAAGUUAAUACCUUGCUGUUUUGACGUUACCAACAGAAUAAGCACCGGCUAACUUCGUG
rnacentral:rRNA from 1 species